rnacentral:rRNA from 2 species
UUGGGCGUAAGAGCUCGUAGGCGGUUUGUCGCGUCUGCUGUGAAAUCCCGAGGCUCAACCUCGGGCUUGCAGUGGGUACGGGCAGACUAGAGUGCGGUAGGGGAGAUUGGAAUUCCUGGUGUAGCGGUGGAAUGCGCAGAUAUCAGGAGGAACACCGAUGGCGAAGGCAGAUCUCUGGGCCGUUACUGACGCUGAGGAGCGAAAGCAUGGGGAGCGAACAGGAUUAGAUACCCUGGUAGUCCAUGCCGUAAACGUUGGGCGCUAGAUGUAGGGACCUUUCCACGGUUUCUGUGUCGUAGCUAACGCAUUAAGCGCCCCGCCUGGGGAGUACGGCCGCAAGGCUAAAACUCAAAGGAAUUGACGGGGGCCCGCACAAGCGGCGGAGCAUGCGGAUUAAUUCGAUGCAACGCGAAGAACCUUACCAAGGCUUGACAUAUACCGGAAACGGCCAGAGAUGGUCGCCCCCUUGUGGUCGGUAUACAGGUGGUGCAUGGUUGUCGUCAGCUCGUGUCGUGAGAUGUUGGGUUAAGUCCCGCAACGAGCGCAACCCUCGUUCUAUGUUGCCAGCGAUUCGGUCGGGGACUCAUAGGAGACUGCCGGGGUCAACUCGGAGGAAGGUGGGGAUGACGUCAAAUCAUCAUGCCCCUUAUGUCUUGGGCUUCACGCAUGCUACAAUGGCCGGUACAAAGGGCUGCGAUACCGUAAGGUGGAGCGAAUCCCAAAAAGCCGGUCUCAGUUCGGAUUGAGGUCUGCAACUCGACCUCAUGAAGUCGGAGUCGCUAGUAAUCGCAGAUCAGCAACGCUGCGGUGAAUACGUUCCCGGGCCUUGUACACACCGCCCGUCAAGUCAUGAAAGUCGGUAACACCCGAAGCCGGUGGCCUAACCCUUGUGGAAGGAGCCGUCGAAGUGGGAUCGGUAAUUAGACGAAGUCG